rnacentral:rRNA from 1 species
GACGAACGCUGGCGGCGUGCUUAACACAUGCAAGUCGAACGGAAAGGCCCUGCUUUUGUGGGGUGCUCGAGUGGCGAACGGGUGAGUAACACGUGAGUAACCUGCCCUUGACUUUGGGAUAACUUCAGGAAACUGGGGCUAAUACCGGAUAGGAGCUCCUGCUGCAUGGUGGGGGUUGGAAAGUUACGGCGGUUGGGGAUGGACUCGCGGCUUAUCAGCUUGUUGGUGAGGUAGUGGCUUACCAAGGCUUUGACGGGUAGCCGGCCUGAGAGGGUGACCGGCCACAUUGGGACUGAGAUACGGCCCAGACUCCUACGGGAGGCAGCAGUGGGGAAUAUUGCACAAUGGGCGGAAGCCUGAUGCAGCAACGCCGCGUGCGGGAUGACGGCCUUCGGGUUGUAAACCGCUUUCGCCUGUGACGAAGCGUGAGUGACGGUAAUGGGUAAAGAAGCACCGGCUAACUACGUG